rnacentral:rRNA from 1 species
UACGAAGGAUUCGAGCGUUAUCCGGAUUUAUUGGGCUUAAAGGGCGCGUAGGUGGAUUAAUAAGUCAGUGGUGAAAGCCCGCAGCUUAACUGCGGAACUGCCAUUGAUACUGUUAGUCUUGAGUACAGUUGAGGUGGGCGGAAUGUGUCAUGUAGCGGUGAAAUGCUUAGAUAUGACACAGAACACCGAUUGCGAAGGCAGCUUACUGGGCAGAUAUUGACGCUCAUGCACGAAAGCGUGGGGAGCAAACAGG